rnacentral:tRNA from 35 species
GUGCCCGUAGCUCAGCUGGAUAGAGCGUCUGACUACGGAUCAGAAGGCCAGGGGUUCGAAUCCCUUCGGGCACACCA